GUUUGCAAGAAGCUGAAGCUCAAUAAAGCCAAGAAGGAGCAAACAUAUCACUUAAUCUUAUGCAGGCCUUAUUACAGUAAGCAAUUUAACAUUGUACUUGGUAGGAAAUCAUCUAAGUAGCAGCUUAGCAAUGAAAAGCAGAAAAUAUUGAUAUAAUGGAUUAAACUCAUGUGCUUGAUUUAGGCUGUGUAGCACCUUAUAAAAUGUCCAUCAAAUACCAUACAAAAUAUAC